GAUGAACGCUGGCGGCGUGCCUAAUACAUGCAAGUCGAGCGAACGGACGAGAAGCUUGCUUCUCUGAUGUUAGCGGCGGACGGGUGAGUAACACGUGGAUAACCUACCUAUAAGACUGGGAUAACUUCGGGAAACCGGAGCUAAUACCGGAUAAUAUUUUGAACCGCAUGGUUCAAAAGUGAAAGACGGUCUUGCUGUCACUUAUAGAUGGAUCCGCGCUGCAUUAGCUAGUUGGUAAGGUAACGGCUUACCAAGGCAACGAUGCAUAGCCGACCUGAGAGGGUGAUCGGCCACACUGGAACUGAGACACGGUCCAGACUCCUACGGGAGGCAGCAGUAGGGAAUCUUCCGCAAUGGGCGAAAGCCUGACGGAGCAACGCCGCGUGAGUGAUGAAGGUCUUCGGAUCGUAAAACUCUGUUAUCAGGGAAGAACAUAUGUGUAAGUAACUGUGCACAUCUUGACGGUACCUAAUCAGAAAGCCACGGCUAACUACGUGCCAGCAGCCGCGGUAAUACGUAGGUGGCAAGCGUUAUCCGGAAUUAUUGGGCGUAAAGCGCGCGUAGGCGGUUUUUUAAGUCUGAUGUGAAAGCCCACGGCUCAACCGUGGAGGGUCAUUGGAAACUGGAAAACUUGAGUGCAGAAGAGGAAAGUGGAAUUCCAUGUGUAGCGGUGAAAUGCGCAGAGAUAUGGAGGAACACCAGUGGCGAAGGCGACUUUCUGGUCUGUAACUGACGCUGAUGUGCGAAAGCGUGGGGAUCAAACAGGAUUAGAUACCCUGGUAGUCCACGCCGUAAACGAUGAGUGCUAAGUGUUAGGGGGUUUCCGCCCCUUAGUGCUGCAGCUAACGCAUUAAGCACUCCGCCUGGGGAGUACGACCGCAAGGUUGAAACUCAAAGGAAUUGACGGGGACCCGCACAAGCGGUGGAGCAUGUGGUUUAAUUCGAAGCAACGCGAAGAACCUUACCAAAUCUUGACAUCCUUUGACAACUCUAGAGAUAGAGCUUUCCCCUUCGGGGGACAAAGUGACAGGUGGUGCAUGGUUGUCGUCAGCUCGUGUCGUGAGAUGUUGGGUUAAGUCCCGCAACGAGCGCAACCCUUAAGCUUAGUUGCCAUCAUUAAGUUGGGCACUCUAAGUUGACUGCCGGUGACAAACCGGAGGAAGGUGGGGAUGACGUCAAAUCAUCAUGCCCCUUAUGAUUUGGGCUACACACGUGCUACAAUGGACAAUACAAAGGGCAGCGAAACCGCGAGGUCAAGCAAAUCCCAUAAAGUUGUUCUCAGUUCGGAUUGUAGUCUGCAACUCGACUACAUGAAGCUGGAGUCGCUAGUAAUCGCAGAUCAGCAACGCUGCGGUGAAUACGUUCCCGGGGCU
rnacentral:rRNA from 1 species